GGAGAGGUAAAACCUAAUAUCUACCCAUCUUCAUCUCCCAAAUUGUUGAAUCAUCAAAUCAAUAAGAUUUAUUUGCAUUGAGUUAGGGUUUGUGGUCUUUGAUUCCAAAUCGAUAAUAGUUCAUCAAGAGCUCCAUUUUCAUUAAGAGAAAGGGGAAAUUUGAUUCUAAUUCGUUGUUUAGGGGAAAGAGGGUAAACUAAUAGUGUUGUGCAGAGUCAAAUAGAAUUCCAUUUUCUUGUACUCCAAGAAAAAGAAUAAGAUCAUAAACUAUGAGGAGUAGCUCACAACCAUGCACAAGUACUUGUCAAUCCUUAUGCAUCUGCAUUUCAGUCAAUUUCCAACAAACAAAUAAGGACCAAAUUGAUAGUAAGGAAACAGACUUAUCCAUUUAUAUAUCCAAAGACAUAUUUUAACUACAACAAAUACACAACUUGCUUCUUGAGUGCAAAUGGGAUGUUGCUUCUCAAUUGUUGAGUGGAAAGACAAUAAGAUCAUGAAGCAGUUGAUUGAACUUGUCAUUAUGUUUUGGUCUUUUUUUUUAGGGAUAUGUUGGCAAGUUUAGCUGUGACAGCUUUUGGAAGGCAUGAAGCCAUGAUUUGUAUAUCAACAAGAUGUUUCAAUACUUUAGUAUAAAUAUUUUCACUUGGAUUUUCAAUAUAAUUAGAUAGAACUUGUCAUUUUGUCUCAUUGAUAUUUACUAUAGGACUAUGAAUGUAAUUAACUGCAAAAGAAUUGCAUAUGCUGCGAUAUAUCAAACUUCA